rnacentral:rRNA from 1 species
UGCAGUCGAACGAGAAUGGCGGAGCUUGCUCUUCCAUGAAAGUGGCGCACGGGUGCGUAACGCGUAUGCAACCUACCUUCUUCAGGGGGAUAGCCUCUCGAAAGAGAGAUUAAAACCGCAUAACAUUGAGCUGUGGCAUCACAAAUCAAUCAAAUAUUUAUAGGAAGAAGAUGGGCAUGCGUGACAUUAGUUAGUUGGUGAGGUAACGGCUCACCAAGACCACGAUGUCUAGGGGAUCUGAGAGGAUGACCCCCCACACUGGUACUGAGACACGGACCAGACUCCUACGGGAGGCAGCAGUAAGGAAUAUUGGUCAAUGGGGGCAACCCUGAACCAGCCAUGCCGCGUGCAGGAAGACGGCCCUACGGGUUGUAAACUGCUUUUAUACCGGAAUAAUUCCCAUUACGUGUAAUGGGUUGAAUGUACGGUAAGAAUAAGGAUCGGCUAACUCCGUGCCAGCAGCCGCGGUAAUACGGAGGAUCCAAGCGUUAUCCGGAUUUAUUGGGUUUAAAGGGUGCGUAGGCGGCUUUUUAAGUCAGGGGUGAAAGACGGUGGCUCAACCAUCGCAGUGCCUUUGAUACUGAAGAGCUAGAUUAAACUUGAGGUAGGCGGAAUGUGACAAGUAGCGGUGAAAUGCAUAGAUAUGUCACAGAACACCGAUUGCGAAGGCAGCUUACUAAGGUUUUAAUGACGCUGAGGCACGAAAGCGUGGGGAUCAAACAGGAUUAGAUACCCUGGUAGUCCACGCCCUAAACGAUGAAUACUCGAUGUUAGCGAUAUACAGUUAGCGUCAAAGCGAAAGCGUUAAGUAUUCCACCUGGGGAGUACGCCCGCAAGGGUGAAACUCAAAGGAAUUGACGGGGGCCCGCACAAGCGGAGGAGCAUGUGGUUUAAUUCGAUGAUACGCGAGGAACCUUACCCGGGCUUGAA